GACGAACGCUGGCGGCGUGCUUAACACAUGCAAGUCGAACGGAGAGCGAUGGAAGCUUGCUUCUAUCAAUCUUAGUGGCGAACGGGUGAGUAACGCGUAAUCAACCUGCCCUUCAGAGGGGGACAACAGUUGGAAACGACUGCUAAUACCGCAUACGAUCUAAUCUCGGCAUCGAGGAUAGAUGAAAGGUGGCCUCUACAUGUAAGCUAUCACUGAAGGAGGGGAUUGCGUCUGAUUAGCUGGUUGGAGGGGUAACGGCCCACCAAGGCGAUGAUCAGUAGCCGGUCUGAGAGGAUGAACGGCCACAUUGGGACUGAGACACGGCCCAGACUCCUACGGGAGGCAGCAGUGGGGAAUCUUCCGCAAUGGACGAAAGUCUGACGGAGCAACGCCGCGUGAGUGAUGACGGCCUUCGGGUUGUAAAGCUCUGUUAAUCGGGACGAAAGGCCUUCUUGCGAACAGUGAGAAGGAU
rnacentral:rRNA from 1 species